AGUUUCCGGGCUUGCUCGGAAAUUAGUGGCGAACGGCUGAGUAUCGCGUAGGUGACCUACCCCGUAGUGUGGAAUAACUGCCCGAAAGGGUAGCUAAUACCGCAUGUUGAGCCGACAUCACUGUCGUCUCCAAAGCAGAAAUGCGCUAUGGGCGGGGCCUGCGUUCGAUUAGCUAGUUGGUGGGGUAAUGGCUCACCAAGGCGACGAUCGAUAGGUGGUCUGAGAGGACGAUCACCCAGACUGGGACUGAGACACGGCCCAGACUCCUACGGGAGGCAGCAGUCGGGAAUUUUGCGCAAUGGGGGAAACCCUGACGCAGCAAUACCGCGUGUGGGAUGAAGGCCUUCGGGUCGUAAACCACUUUUUUCGGGGACGAUAAUGACGGUACCCGAAGAAUAAGCCACGGCUAACUACGUGCCAGCAGCCGCGGUAAUACGUAGGUGGCAAGCGUUGUCCGGAUUUACCGGGCGUAAAGCGCGCGCAGGCGGUGAAUGAAGUCGAAAGUGAAAGCCCCGGGCUCAACUCGGGAACUGCUUUCGAAACCAGUCCACUUGAAGGCGGAAGAGGGAAGUGGAAUUCCGAGUGUAGUGGUGGAAUGCGUAGAUAUUCGGAAGAACACCAGAGGCGAAGGCGACUUCCUGGUCCGAUCUUGACGCUGAGGCGCGAAAGCUAGGGGAGCAAACGGGAUUAGAUACCCCGGUAGUCCUAGCUGUAAACGAUGGAUACUAGGUGUUGGAGGUUUUAACCCCUCCGGUGCCGCAGCUAACGCAUUAAGUAUCCCGCCUGGGGAGUACGGCCGCAAGGCUAAAACUCAAAGGAAUUGACGGGGCCCCGCACAAGCAGCGGAGCGUGGGGUUUAAUUCGAUGAUACGCGAANAACCUUACCANGGCUUGACNUGCACNUGACCGCGGCG
rnacentral:rRNA from 1 species